rnacentral:lncRNA from 1 species
UGGAUAGGUUGGCAUGCAUUAGUACAGACUAGGUGGGAGUGUUGCAUUCAAGGGUGUGACACGUGUAAGGCAUGCGUGGGAAUCUCUGAGACAGAAUAGGUGAAGACUUGAUGGGGAACAGGCAUGCGUGGGAAUCUCUGAGACUUGGUGGUGAAGACUUGAUGGGGGAACAGGCAUGCAUGGGAAUCUCUGAGACUAGGUUCAGGCUAUAGUGGAUAGGUUGGCAUGCAUUAGUACAGGACUAGGUGGGAGUGUUGCAUUCAAGGGUGUGACACGUGUAAGGCAUGCGUGGAAUCUCUGAGACAGAAUAGGUGAAGACUUGAUGGGGAACAGGCAUGCGUGGGAAUCUCUGAGACUUGGUGGUGAAGACUUGAUGGGGAACAGGCAUGCAUGGGAAUCUCUGAGACUAGGUUCAGGCUAUAGGUGGAUAGGUUGGCAUGCAUUAGUACAGACUAGGUGG